rnacentral:rRNA from 1 species
GAUGAACGCUGGCGGCGUGCCUAAUACAUGCAAGUCGAGCGAACAGAUGAGGAGCUUGCUCCUCUGACGUUAGCGGCGGACGGGUGAGUAACACGUGGAUAACCUACCUAUAAGACUGGGAUAACUUCGGGAAACCGGAGCUAAUACCGGAUAAUAUAUUGAACCGCAUGGUUCAAUAGUGAAAGACGGUUUUGCUGUCCCUUAUAGAUGGAUCCGCGCCGCAUUAGCUAGUUGGUAAGGUAACGGCUUACCAAGGCAACGAGGCGUAGCCGACCUGAGAGGGUGAUCGGCCACACGGGGACUGAGACACGGUCCAGACUCCUACGGGAGGCAGCAGUAGGGAAUCUUCCGCAAUGGGCGAAAGCCUGACCGAGCAACGCCGCGUGAGUGAUGAAGGUCUUCGGAUCGUAAAACGCUGUUAUUAGGGAAGAACAAAUGUUUAAGUAACUAUGCACGACUUGACGGUACCUAAACAGAAAGCCACGGCUAACUACGUG